UCGGGAAUUUUGGGCAAUGGGCGAAAGCCUGACCCAGCAACGCCGCGUGAAGGAUGAAGUCUUUCGGGAUGUAAACUUCGUAAAAAUAGGAAGAAUAAAUGACGGUACUAUUUGUAAGGUCCGGCUAACUACGUGCCAGCAGCCGCGGUAAUACGUAGGGACCAAGCGUUGUUCGGAUUUACUGGGCGUAAAGGGCGCGUAGGCGGCGUGGUAAGUCACUUGUGAAAUCUCCGAGCUUAACUCGGAACGGUCAAGUGAUACUGCUGUGCUAGAGUACAGAAGGGGCAAUCGGAAUUCUUGGUGUAGCGGUGAAAUGCGUAGAUAUCAAGAGGAACACCUGAGGUGAAGACGGGUUGCUGGGCUGAUACUGACGCUGAGGCGCGAAAGCUAGGGUAGCAAACGGGAUUAGAUACCCAAGUAGUCCCUGAGCGGGCUGGCAAGGCGCAU
rnacentral:rRNA from 1 species